rnacentral:rRNA from 1 species
UACGUAGGGGGCAAGCGUUGUCCGGAUUUAUUGGGCGUAAAGAGCGUGUAGGCGGCCAGGUAGGUCCGUUGUGAAAACUCGAGGCUCAACCUCGAGACGUCGGCGGAAACCCUCUGGCUAGAGUCCGGAAGAGGAGAGUGGAAUUCCUGGUGUAGCGGUGAAAUGCGCAGAUAUCAGGAAGAACACCAGUGGCGAAGGCGGCUCACUGGCCCGGUACUGACGCUGAGGCACGAAAGCGUGGGGAGCAAACAGG